rnacentral:rRNA from 1 species
CAGUAGCCGCGGUAAUACGUAGGUGGCAAGCGUUGUCCGGAAUUAUUGGGCGUAAAGGGCUCGCAGGCGGUUUCUUAAGUCUGAUGUGAAAGCCUCCGGCUCAACCGGGGAGGGUCAUUGGAAACUGGGAAACUUGAGUGCAGAAGAGGAGAGUGGAAUUCCACGUGUAGCGGUGAAAUGCGUAGAGAUGUGGAGGAACACCAGUGGCGAAGGCGACUCUCUGGUCUGUAACUGACGCUGAGGAGCGAAAGCGUGGGGAGCGAACAGGAUUAGAUACCCCUGUAGUCCCUGUCUCUUAUAA